rnacentral:rRNA from 1 species
ACGGGAGGCAGCAGUGGGGAAUAUUGCACAAUGGGGGAAACCCUGAUGCAGCAACGCCGCGUGAAGGAUGAAGGCCUUUGGGUCGUAAACUUCUGUCCUUGGGGAAGAAGAGAUGACGGUACCCUUGGAGGAAGCCCCGGCUAACUCCGUGCCAGCAGCCGCGGUAAUACGGAGGGGGCAAGCGUUAUCCGGAAUUAUUGGGCGUAAAGGGUGCGUAGGCGGUUUACUAAGCGCAUGGUAUAAGGCAAUGGCUUAACCACUGUUUGCCUUGCGAACUGGUAGACUUGAGUGCAGGAGAGGAAAGCGGAAUUCCUAGUGUAGCGGUGAAAUGCGUAGAUAUUAGGAGGAACACCAGUGGCGAAGGCGGCUUACUGGACUGUAACUGACGUUGAGGCUCGAAAGCGUGGGGAGCAAACAGGAUUAGAUACCGUGGUA